CCUANGGGUGGCAGCAGUCGAGAAUUUUUCUCAAUGGGGGAAACCCUGAAGGAGCGACGCCGCGUGGGGGAUGAAUGGCUUCGGCCCGUAAACCCCUGUCAUUUGCGAUCAAACCUUACGACCUAACACGUCGUAAGCUGAUAGUAGCGGAAGAGGAAGGGACGGCUAACUCUGUGCCAGCAGCCGCGGUAAUACAGAGGUCCCAAGCGUUGUUCGGAUUCACUGGGCGUAAAGGGUGCGUAGGCGGUCGGGUAAGUCUGACGUGAAAUCUUCAAGCUCAACUUGGAAACUGCGUCGGAUACUAUUCGGCUAGAGGAAUGGAGGGGAGACUGGAAUACUUGGUGUAGCAGUGAAAUGCGUAGAUAUCAAGUGGAACACCAGUGGCGAAGGCGAGUCUCUGGACAUUUCCUGACGCUGAGGCACGAAAGCCAGGGGAGCAAACGGGAUUAGAUACCCUGNUANUC
rnacentral:rRNA from 1 species